rnacentral:rRNA from 1 species
CACGUAGGGUGCGAGCGUUGUCCGGAAUUAUUGGGCGUAAAGAGCUCGUAGGCGGUGUGUCGCGUCGGCCGUGAAAACCUGCAGCUUAACUGUGGGCGUGCGGUCGAUACGGGCAUCACUGGAGUUCGGCAGGGGGAGACUGGAAUUCCUGGUGUAGCGGUGAAAUGCGCAGAUAUCAGGAGGAACACCCGUAGCGAAGGCGGCACUCUGGGCCGAUUCUGACACUGAGGAGCGAAAGCGUGGGGAGCGAACAGG